rnacentral:lncRNA from 1 species
UAUAAAUGGAUGCUACCUUGGUUGCUGUGGUCAGCUGGAAGAGCUAAUGCUGGUCUUCAGUGGACAAUACGUAAAUCAAAGAUUAUUAAGGGUCCAAGCUAUCACAUUUGGGGGCUCAUCCGGGAUGGGAGCAAGACCUCAGACUCAUUUCUGAACAUUUGAAAGUAAGUACUCUGGAGGGUUUGUUUGGGCCGCAGUCAGUUUGUACUCUUGGGCAGGGGACGCCCUCAAUUUGGGAAGCGGGGACUUCCCAAGAACAGAGUCAAUUGGCUUUUUGGGGACAAAUCUCAUCCAUUUGUAUAGUUUUCAGGGCGAACUUCGUCCAUUUGUGACUCUGCCCCAGGUGGGGAACCGCUCUGUUGGUUAAUUUGUUAAUUCCUCCAGAUCCCAAAAUUUGACCAAUUUUUGAGCAAAGUCCAUUUUGCUGCAGCUUGUCUUGUCUUGUAUGUCUGUUUGUGUAUCCAUUUGUUCUAAUUAUUCUCCUUUUGGUCACCCCAAAUCUAACAGAACAUUCUCUCCUAGGAACCCCUUCUACAAGCCCAAAAUGGACAAAGGGAUUUAGAUAUUUAUGUUCAGUGUUUUUGUAGUUUAGAAUUGUCUGCCUGUUUGAAUUUGUUACUAACUUAGGGGCUUGCUGGCCAUUUCUGUUGCAGGAUCCAUAUGGCUUAUUAAACUCAAGGUUCAUAA